GCCAAACGCGAUUUUCGUAACCAAAUUACUUUCUUUCCAGUUUCAACAUUUUUCAAGGUCAAAAUCGCGUUUCAUUUAUUUCAAGUCCAACUCUGUAGCACCAUUUGUCACGGCCAUUUUUUCCACCAUCAAUUCCACAGAAUCUUCUCCUCAAACAAAUUCACAAAGCAUUGAUUAUAAAUACAUAUACAUACACAUACAUGCGUGUAUAGCAUAAACACCUACAGAUAUACGCAGUGAUGAAACGCGAUGGAGUCUCUGUAACAAUUGUACUCGCUGCUGUUUUUGCGGCAUCAAUUUUAAUUGUGUUUGUAUUCGGAUGUUUCACUGAUAAGAAGGGAACUGGAUCAUUCUAUGUGAAUUCAGAAGAAGAGAUUAAAAUACCUGUCGUUGAAUUGAUUGCUACUCCUGCACGUACACAUAUUGGUGAAGCCAGAGCUGUUCUUUCCUCUGUAAAUUCAUCUAAAUUCUAUUCCACUGCACUUGUUACCGUAAGUAUUACAUAUAUAUCUCCACUGUAUAUCUCUCCC
rnacentral:lncRNA from 1 species